rnacentral:rRNA from 1 species
GAUUAACGCUGGCGGCGUGCCUAACACAUGCCAGUCGAGCGGCAGCGCGUUUUACACUGAAUUCUGGAAGCUUCUAGUUGCAAGAGAAGAUUUAUUCAAGAAUUUUGUGUAAAAUGUCGGCGAGCGGCGGACGGCUGAGUAACGCGUGGGAACGUACCCCAAAGUGAGGGAUAACGCAUCGAAAGGUGUGCUAAUACCGCAUAUGGUCUUCGGAUUAAAUCCUUCGGGCGCUUUGGGAACGGCCUGCGUAAGAUUAGAUAGUUGGUGGGGUAAUGGCCUACCAAGUCGACGAUCUUUAACUGGUUUGAGAGGAUGAUCAGUCAGACUGGAACUGAGACACGGUCCAGACUCCUACGGGAGGCAGCAGUGAGGAAUCUUACACAAUGGGCGAAAGCCUGAUGGAGCAACGCCGCGUGCAGGAUGAAGGCCUUCGGGUUGUAAACUGCUUUUAUAAGUGAGGAUUAUGACAGUAACUUAUGAAUAAGGAUCGGCUAACUACGUG